rnacentral:rRNA from 1 species
AGUGAACGCUGGCGGUAGGCCUAACACAUGCAAGUCGAACGGCAGCGCAGUAAGAGCUUGCUCUUACGGGUGGCGAGUGGCGGACGGGUGAGGAAUACAUCGGAAUCUACUUUUUCGUGGGGGAUAACGUAGGGAAACUUACGCUAAUACCGCAUACGACCUACGGGUGAAAGCAGGGGAUCUUCGGACCUUGCGCGAUUGAAUGAGCCGAUGUCGGAUUAGCUAGUUGGCGGGGUAAAGGCCCACCAAGGCGACGAUCCGUAGCUGGUCUGAGAGGAUGAUCAGCCACACUGGAACUGAGACACGGUCCAGACUCCUACGGGAGGCAGCAGUGGGGAAUAUUGGACAAUGGGCGCAAGCCUGAUCCAGCCAUACCGCGUGGGUGAAGAAGGCCUUCGGGUUGUAAAGCCCUUUUGUUGGGAAAGAAAUGCAGCAGGUUAAUACCCCGCUGUUCUGACGGUACCCAAAGAAUAAGCACCGGCUAACUUCGUG